UACAGAGGGUGCAAGCGUUAAUCGGAAUUACUGGGCGUAAAGCGUGCGCAGGCGGUGAUGUAAGACAGGUGUGAAAUCCCCGGGCUUAACCUGGGAACUGCAUUUGUGACUGCAUUGCUGGAGUGCGGCAGAGGGGGAUGGAAUUCCCGGUGUAGAGGUGAAAUUCGUAGAUAUCGGGAGGAACACCAGUGGCGAAGGCGGCGACCUGGGCCAAUACUGACGCUGAGGUGCGAAAGCGUGGGGAGCAAACAGG
rnacentral:rRNA from 1 species